rnacentral:sRNA from 1 species
GCCGGGCUCGGUGGUGCACGCCUGUAAUCCCAGCGAGACGGAGGCAGAGACAGGAGGAUCGCAAGUUCAAUGCCAGCCCCAGCAACUAAGCUGGAUCCUGUCUCGA